GUGGCUUGGACGGUGUUAUGCUAUCACUACGCGGGUGUUCUGUACUGCGAGAAAAACAACCCACAACCAUGAUGGCCCGGGAGAUAAUGGACAACACAAAGCGGGCUGGCAAAUCUAUCAUGUUAACGAGGAGGGCAUAUCCACACCCCUAGUGCAACAAACACAAGAAGAAGAGCCAGGAGGGUGGUGUUUGUUCCCAGCGUCCCCGCAGCCACAUAGUGUGUUCAUCGACAAUAAUGUACCAGUGAUGGCAAAAGAGACGCCACGGGAAUUUGAAAUAAUGAAAGCCUGUCCGUCACUUACAGGUGAGAACUCAUAGCAUAUCACAUGGCACAUAAUAAAAAAAUGUAAAGCAUAAAAUGUUUUUGUUCAAUGUUUCAAGCUUAAAAAUGCAUUUUCAAAAAUCACAAAGCAUCCGUAGGAACCCCGCAUUCAAAACGCUUGCACAAAAAUGCUUGCAACAUCCGUUUGCAAAGUGAAAUGAUACAAGGAAUUAGGAAAUACAAACAGGAGCUGUAUAUUAUUGUGAAAACUGGCAAAAAUGCUUUCUCAGCGCUGCUGCUAAACAUCCCUAAACAACGUACGGGAGUUUUCCACAAAGCCAACCGUUAUAAUCUCCUGUGACAAGAUGAUGAUUACAUCUUUCACUGGC